rnacentral:rRNA from 1 species
GACGAACGCUGGCGGCAUGCCUAAUACAUGCAAGUCGAGCGAACAGAUGAAGUGCUUGCACUUCUGACGUUAGCGGCGAACGGGUGAGUAACACGUAAGGAGUCUACCUAUAAGCGGGGGAUAACAUUCGGAAACGGGUGCUAAUACCGCAUAAUAUCUUCUUCCGCAUGGAAGAAGAUUGAAAGACGGCUCUGCUGUCACUUAUAGAUGACCUUGCGGUGCAUUAGUUAGUUGGUGGGGUAAUGGCCUACCAAGACGAUGAUGCAUAGCCGACCUGAGAGGGUGAUCGGCCACAUUGGGACUGAGACACGGCCCAAACUCCUACGGGAGGCAGCAGUAGGGAAUCUUCCGCAAUGGGCGAAAGCCUGACGGAGCAAUGCCGCGUGAGUGAAGAAGGCCUUCGGGUCGUAAAACUCUGUUAUAAGAGAAGAACAAAUUGUAGAGUAACUGCUACAGUCUUGACGGUAUCUUAUCAGGAAGCCACGGCUAACUACGUGCCAGCCGCCGCGGUAA